AGAGUGAACGCUGGCGGUAGGCCUAACACAUGCAAGUCGAACGGCAGCACGGUAAGAGCUUGCUCUUAUGGGUGGCGAGUGGCGGACGGGUGAGGAAUACAUCGGAAUCUACCUUUUGGUGGGGGAUAACGUAGGGAAACUUACGCUAAUACCGCAUACGCCCUUCGGGGGAAAGCCGGGGACCAGCAAUGGCCUGGCGCUGAUAGAUGAGCCGAUGUCGGAUUAGCUAGUUGGUGAGGUAAUGGCUCACCAAGGCGACGAUCCGUAGCUGGUCUGAGAGGAUGAUCAGUCACACUGGAACUGAGACACGGUCCAGACUCCGUACGGGAGGCAGCAGGUGGGGGAAAU
rnacentral:rRNA from 1 species